rnacentral:rRNA from 1 species
GACGUAGGGGGCGAGCGUUGUCCGGAUUUAUUGGGCGUAAAGCGUGCGUAGGCGGCUGCACAAGUCGGGUGUGAAACCCCGGGGCUCAACCCCGGAACUGCAUCCGAUACUGCGUGGCUAGAGGUAGGUAGGGGAGAUCGGAAUUCCUGGUGUAGCGGUGAAAUGCGCAGAUAUCAGGAGGAACACCGGUGGCGAAGGCGGAUCUCUGGGCCUUACCUGACGCUCAGGCACGAAAGCUAGGGGAGCGAACAGG